UACGUAGGGUGCUAGCGUUAUCCGGAUUUACUGGGCGUAAAGGGUACGUAGGCGGUUAGAAAAGUUAGAAGUGAAAGGCUAUAGCUCAACUAUAGUAAGCUUUUAAAACUGUUUAACUUGAGAGAUGGAAGGGAAAGUGGAAUUCCUAGUGUAGCGGUGAAAUGCGCAGAUAUUAGGAGGAAUACCGGUGGCGAAGGCGACUUUCUGGCCAUAAACUGACGCUGAGGUACGAAAGCGUGGGUAGCAAACAGG
rnacentral:rRNA from 1 species